rnacentral:rRNA from 1 species
CAGUAGCCGCGGGAAUACGUAUGUGGCAAGCGUUGUCCGGAAUUAUUGGGCGUAAAGGGCUCGCAGGCGGUUUCUUAAGUCUGAUGUGAAAGCCCCCGGCUCAACCGGGGAGGGUCAUUGGAAACUGGGAAACUUGAGUGCAGAAGAGGAGAGUGGAAUUCCACGUGUAGCGGUGAAAUGCGUAGAGAUGUGGAGGAACACCAGUGGCGAAGGCGACUCUCUGGUCUGUAACUGACGCUGAGGAGCGAAAGCGUGGGGAGCGAACAGGAUUAGAUACCCCGGUAGUCCCUGUCUCUUAUAC